rnacentral:rRNA from 1 species
AUGAGGGAACAAGAAGUCGACGUCACCCCUCUGUUGGGCCCUAGCUCCGACAGCGACGGGGGCGGCGGUGGGAGAGACGACCCGUCCUCCCCGCGCUCUCCACCAUCCCCGCGCGAUGGCCCCGGAGACGAAGACCGCCACAACCCUGUUCUGAUUCGACGCGAUCAGGGCGCUGCGGGAGCUGGGUCCUCCCGCCGGGGGGCUCUUUCUGCGCCCGUGGCCUCGCGCAGUGAGCGGGUGCUCGGCCUGCUGCCUGUGCCUUGCGGCCCCAUGGCCGGCCAUCUUGUUCUCCCGGACGUGCAAGGACAGUGCAUCUCCUCCAAGCCCACUCAAGUUCAGAUCGACGUCUCGGAUGGCUUCUUCGAAAUCCUAGCGGUCGGCGCUGGGGGCGAGCGUGCUUUCUAUAAAAUCCCGAUGCAACCGCUUCGCCUCACGGGCUCCAAGGGCAUGCUCGUCGUCAACCUCUGCUCCGCCUCUGUCGGAGUCAUCGACUCCAUCAUCCCCAAGCAUGAGGGGGUGCGUGCUACCCUCUCUGCGGACAUCAUCGUUCGGGCGCCUGCACCUGAAGAUCAUUGGCGAAACCUCUCGCUUGCCGAGCUCGAAUGGGAAGUGGUGGCGGCCGUGGGUGCCCUGCCCCAGCCGACGGUCCCUUUCGCCUCCACUCUUGUAGGUGUCCGGGCUGCCCUGCGGGCUCAGGCGACGCCCACGCCCACGCCCCCGCCGAGCGCCACCACGACGGCCCUCCCCGUGGCCAUCCCAGUCCCUGAUGCUGCCCCUCUCCUGGAGGGCGGAGAGGCCCCUUUGGCUGAAGAGGCGCCUAUCCCCCUGUUGGACGAGGGGCCACCCGCUGAUGUUGCUGCUCUGCCGGGCGAUGCGGGCGGCGACCCUGUCUCCGGCUUCUCUGCGCUCUCGCCCCUGUUGGAUGGGCUGAGCGAUGUCUCCUCGGCCGCUCCGGGUGUGCGCGCUCCACCGUCUUCUGCCGUGUUUGAUCACAUCCUUGCUCGAGUGGAUGAUAGUGCUAUCCCUGCACUGGAUUUCCCUGAUCCAUGGGUGGGUGCUCUGCCAGCCGUACCGGAGCCCGAGUGUCGUCGCAGCGGCCGUCUCACGCUGACCGAGCCUGCUGGUUACGUCCCCAUGGUGGACCGAGCCGUGGCGAUCAAGAAAAGGAAGUUGGGCGUGGUGACUGCCGCGUCUCCCGCUACAUCGCCUCCUCCCUCGCCACCAACUGCCAUCCCCGUUCUGAUGGACAUGGGACGCGCCUGUGCGGUGCCUGAAGAAGAUUUGGCUCUACUGGAAUCUGCCCCUGGUGCAACUGCUCGCCGCCGAGGCGGGCGGGCGGAAGCUAAACUGCAAAACGUUCCUGUCUUCAAAGCCCUUGCUUUCCUCCCUGGUCAUGUUGCUCGCUCCUUGGUGUUUCAGGCCAGUACCGGGGCUUCGGGCGAACUGAUCACUGCCUGGGACGAUCGGGUGCUGGAGCUCGUGUCAUCUUCUCAGCUCCCCGGCCUCCUCACAGCUCGUUUGCGCUACCGGGCCUCGGGGCUCUGCCUUACUAUUACCAAUGCUUACGGCCCCUGUGCCGGUCCUGAUCGAGCUCUCUUCCUGAACAAUAUUACUGCCACUGCUGGGGGGAUCCUUGAGCCGUGUUUCAACGACUGCAUUGACGAGGCGGCCCUGCUUGAGCUGCCUUUGCUUGACCGGCUGUUCACCUGGAGUAACCGUCAUAGGGAGCCUGUGCUCGUCAAACUGGAUCGCUUCUUUGUCAACAACGACUGGUGCACCGCUUUCCCUGAUUCGGCUGUCACCUCCAUUGCUUCUAGGGCCUCGGACCAUGUUCCGAUUGUCCUCACUGCUGCAACUGUUGUUCCGUGUGCCUCGAUCUUCAGGUUCAGUGACCAUUGGUUUGGAUACCCCGGCCUGGCUGCUGCACUUGAAACUGCUGACUCCCCCGUCAACCCCACCUUCGCGCCCGCGAAGCGCCUGUCCGUUCGGCUGAAGAAAUUUCGCAGCGCUCUCAAGAGAUGGUCAAGAUCAAUCAAGCACCCUGACAUGAUUGUUGCCAAGUGCAAUGAGGUCAUCAGGUUCCUGGACUCUUUGGAAGAGCAACGCAGCCUUUCUGACCCCGAGUUUCUCCUGCGCUCUCUUGUCCAGAGCUCUCUGUCCUUACACCUCAAGCGGGCUGCAGCCUUCUGGAGACGUCGAGGGAAAAUCAGGUUCUGCGUCUUGGGCGACGAGAACACCAAGUUUUUCCAUGCUUGCUCGUCUGCACGCCGCCGUGGGAACCAGAUUGCAUGCCUCGUCCGCGACGGGGUCGAGCACCGAGCCCACAACGACAAGGCUCGUAUCCUGCGUGAUUUCUACCUAAACCUGCUUGGGACUGAAACGCCGGUUGUGGACAACCUAGACUUGCACCAGUUGAUGUCUGGUGCUAGAUUGGACUCUGCCCAGUCGCUCGCCCUCGACCAACCGUUCUCCAACGCUGAAAUCAAAGCUGCUGUCUUCGGAAUGCGGGCUGGGGGAGCCCCUGGGCCAGAUGGUUUCGGCCCUGCCUUCUUCCAGCACGCCUGGACUCGUCUGGCCCCAGACCUUCAGGAACUGGCUGCUGAAUUCUUUGAUCACAAGACUGACCUGUCGGGCAUCAACAGGUCGUUCGUCACACUGAUCCCGAAGAUGGACGCACCUACGUCGCCGUCGAACUUCAGACCCAUCUCGCUCCAGAACUGUCCCCCGAAGAUGUUGUCGCGCAUGAUGACGAGUCGGCUUCAACCACUCAUCCCUUUCCUCGUCCACCCGGAGCAGACUGGGUUCUUGCGCGGGAGGUGUAUCUCUGAGAAUUUCGUCUUGGCUGCAGAGCUGCUGCUCGCCAAGAUCCAUGCCCCCCCAGAAGCCGGUUGGCAAACGUGGUUCUCCUCCCAGUAUGGGUGGGCCGGCGUGCGUGACCUGGGUGACGCCGGCCGCCUAGACACCCCCACAUGGAAGUCCCUCUUGGCGCUGCUGCCGCUCUUCCGGGAGAGCACAGCGUGCGUGGUGGGGAACGGAGAACACACAGCCUUCUGGUGUGAUCUUUGGCUGGGUGAGACAACGCUCGAGCUCCGGUUUCCUGCACUCUUCUCGCACUCUGUGCGCCCCAACACGUGCGUUGCUGUUGCCCUGCAGGGGCUGGACGCUCAGCUGCGCCCCCGGCUCUCUUCCGCUGCUUGCUCUGAACUCGCUCGUCUCAAGGAAGAGCUCAGAGGGGUGACCCUGCACCACGGCAUGCAGGAUGUUCGUUCGCUGCGGGUCAGCGGGGCUGUGUUCACAGCCAGAGGGGCGUAUCGGGCUGCCAUGGCGGUGCACGAACCGGACAACUUCGCGCCCACCAUUUGGCGCAGCUUCGCCCCCGGCAAGUGCAAAUUCUUCUUUUGGUUGUGCCACCGCCGGUGUCUUCCCUGUCGAAGACACAUCAUUGACGGGGCCGCCUGUGCCUUCUGUGGUCAGGAUGAAACAUUGGAGCACUUGCUGUUCGGCUGUGCACACGCCAGUGCCAUAUGGGCCCUAGUUGCUCCGGGGACAGCGGCCACCCAGUCUGUCGAGGGCCUCUUCUACGCCUCGAAUGCAGGCCUGCCGGGUGUCCCCCGCAUGCGAAUCGUGGGUGCAGCGCUUUGCUGCCUUGCCGUAGUUUCUCAGUUCCCGGUCCCCGCUGGGAUUGUAAGGGUGUCAGGUCCCCGCUGGGAUUGUAAGGGUGUCAGGGCCUCCCUACACCUAUCGCUCUCUCUCUCCCUUAAGUCGACGUACCUGAGCUCGUUCGUGACGUCCUCCUCGCCCUCGCCGUCUCCAUCUCCCAUGUCGAGCGCGCCGACCACGACUCUGCAUCCGAGACCAGUCGCGCCCGAGAUGGAGCCGCCGAGGAAGCGGGCGGGUGUGCCUAGGAGGGGGCGGAGCCCGAGCGCCCCGGCCGUGCAGCCGUGCCCCACCGCGUCGGCAACGGCACUCCGUGGAGAGACAGCGGCGUCCGUUAUGGUUGGCCGCGAGUUGAGCUUGUGCCACGGACGACGGGAACUCGACGAGGACAGGGCCGAGCGCGGAUCUUGCUCCCGCGAGGCCCACGGCAUUGACGUCCUCCUCGCCGUGGCCCUCGCCACCUUCAUCACCCAGAGACGAGGGCGUCCGCUGUGGCUGGCCGCUACGUCGGCGCGCGCCACGAACGGGAGCCCGGCGAGGACGGGUCCGAGCGCGGAUGCUGCUCCCGCGUGGUCCACAGGGUUGAAGCCCUCUUGCGUGGUCGAGCUCACGGACGACGACUCCGCGGGCCGGAACCUGGCGAACAGUGACCACCACGCCGGAUGCCGCUUUCCACUGCGGCCCGCAUGCCGGGGCGUGCGUUCACGGACGUGUUUUAGGAAGGAGACCCGGGGAAGGAAGUGGGCAGGUGGAGACGGGGAUUGGUGUCCAUGGGCCAAGAAGCGCUAUAUUUAUAUAGCUGUAAGGCAGUUGGUUGAUGUGCUUCCAGAUAUUUCUAAGCAGUUUUUUGUAGACACGUGUGCACACGUCCCACCAACUAACAACCAGAGUAAACAGCGCCAAUAUUUUGGCGAAGCAUUUCGGCGCCCUCGUCUCGCCCACGAAUUGGCGCGAAUAACAAGGACGGAAGCCGGGCAAGCUGGGCAAGCCAAUUCUUCGGCGCUGAUCCAAACAGGAGUUAAUUGCACAGAAGUAUCACAAUUCGGGUAUCAUAUGCAGAUUGCGGGGCCCGCCCGUCAGGUGCCGACGUGGCAUGUUUUUUUGCAGAAAACCCCCGUCCCUCUCUUCCCCCACACACGACACAACCAACCAAGCCCGGCCGCGCCCCCUCCUCCCCCUCUUCGCUUCCCCACCCUAGCCACCGCCCGCCCGCCCGCAGCCAUGACGGCGUGGACCCGGCUUGUCACCGGCGCCGCGCGCCUCGGUGCCGCAUCCGCUCUCGCGCUCCACGCCGCUGCCACCCGCGCCUCCGCCCUGCUCCGCCCCGCCGCCGACUCCAUCCGCGCCGGCGUGGCGCUCCCUGGCGCGCCCGCCACCCACAUCCUGGCGCUCCCGGGCCCCGACGGCGCGGUCGGCGGCGACCCGUUCGCGGCCUCGCUAUCCGUGCCGCCGCCGUCCUACGUGCAGAUGGCCGAGAUGGAGAGGAAGCAGGAGCUGCUGGCGCAGGAGCAGAGGAUGUGGGCGCAGUACCGGCAGGGCGGGAUGCAGGGGCAGGCCGGCCUCAACGGGCUCGCCGUCGGCGGCGGCGGGAGCGCGUUCGCGUCCGACUCCUCGUGGAGCGCGCGGGGUGGAGAUGGAGGCGGGCGCAGAGGGAGAGGGCGAGGGCGAGGGCGGCGAGGCGGCGCGGAGCGAGAGGGCGAGGGCGAGGGCGAGGGCGAGGGCAGGGGUUUUCUGCAAAAAAAACAUGCCACGUCGGCACCUGACGGGCGGGCCCCGCUAGUCAGAUACACCGUCAAUACGUGUUUAUACACAGUUUAG